CCUACGGGUGGCAGCAGUGAGGAAUAUUGGUCAAUGGACGCGAGCCUGACCCAGCCACGCAGCGUGAAGGAUGACUGCCCUACGGGUUGUAAACUUCUUUUUUAAAGGAAUACAGUGAGGCACGUGUGCCUUUUUGUAUGUACUUUAUGAAUAAGGAACGGCUAACUCAGUGCCAGCAGCCGCGGUAAUACGGAGGAUCCGAGCGUUAUCCGGAUUUAUUGGGUUUAAAGGAAGCGUAGAUGGGUUGUUAAGUCAGUUGUGAAAGUUUGCGGCUCAACCGUAAAAUUGCAAUUGAUACUGGCAGCCUUGAGUACAGUUGAGGUAGGCGGAAUUCGUGGUGUAGCGGUGAAAUGCUUAGAUAUCACGAAGAACUCCGAUUGCGAAGGCAGCCUACUAAACUGCCACUGACAUUGAUGCUCGAAAGUGUGGGUAUCAAACAGGAUUAGAUACCCGUGUAGUC
rnacentral:rRNA from 1 species